rnacentral:lncRNA from 1 species
CGCUCGUAAUACAGGUUUAUAAAAAAGUUUCCAAAAACGUAAUGUGUAAUAUAAAUUAGGCUCGUUAAUGUAAUAUAAUCUUGACAUUUAAAUAUUAAAUAGUCUCUCAUCUAAAAAAGUGUAAGUAGAAUAUAAUAAGGAAAGGAAAGACGUCUUGUGCCUUCUCCAACAAGUAGUCGUAAUCCUUUUCCCAUAAGAAUAAUGACUUUCUCUUCUAUAUAACAAUACGUUUAGUUCUCACAC